rfam:Salmo salar isolate Sally breed double haploid chromosome ssa09, whole genome shotgun sequence.
UGCACUCACUACUGUAAGUCUCUCUGGAUAAGAGUGUCUGCUAAAUGACUAAAA